UGUAGCUCGGCUCCAAGAGGUAACGGAGAUGCCUGCCUUAGGACUCUAGCCCUGAAGGGGCACAUGCAUGUAUAGCAGCACCUGUAUGGGUCACAGCGGAAUCCAAGUGUGACCGCUGCUCUUCCAGAGUUUUCCGUCCUGUUGAUGUACCUUCCCAGGCCUGUUUUUAAAGUUUAGUCCUGUUGACAACUCGUCACCCCGUUUUCUCCUGUUGUUGAGUUUCUGCAAAUAUUGGACCCUUUUAUCCAACUCUACCAUGGGCAACCAACUUGUGAUGUGGACCUGAGCCUCCGCCAUGUAGCAGACAACCCCCCUCAGGUCUUGCGGUGUUUCCUUCCCAAGUGGCGUGGAUGUGAAGAGACAACACAGUUCCCCUGAUGUUCCAUGGGCAACCAACUUGUGAUGUGGACCUGACCCUCCGUCAUGUAGCAGACAACCCCCCCCCUCAGGUCUUGCGGUGUUUCCUUCCCAAGUGGCGUGGAUGUGAAGAGACAACACAGUUCCCCUGAUGUUCCAUGGGCAACCAACUUGUGAUGUGGACCUGACCCUCCGUCAUGUAGCAGACAACCCCCCCCCUCAGGUCUUGCGGUGUUUCCUUCCCAAGUGGCGUGGAUGUGAAGAGACACACAGUUCCCCUGAUGUUCCAAGGGCGACCAACUUCUAUACAAUUCAACUUUAUAGCAAAUAUUUUGUAAUAAAAAACCACAGAAAACUUCUCUUUUUAAAAAUGUAUUGAAGAAAAAUUGUAUUUGAUUAUUGAAAUAAAAA